rnacentral:lncRNA from 1 species
UUCAAGUAAGUCAAUAGAUUGCGUUAAUGGGAAAUGCGCCCGGCUUAUUGAUUAGGAAGUGGAAUCGUGUCUUCAGCAGCCGUAACAACAAUAUUCAUACUGAAAUACAUAAAGUAGUUUUUACUAUUCACCAUUCUAUACAUCUAUCUUUUUAACGGAAUAACGCUUUUGCUUCAAGGGAUAGGAUGAAAUAAACGAUUCUUCGUAGAACAUGGUAGCGGAUUACAGCUAUAUGAUUAGCAACUAGUAAAUGUAACCGGGUGCUAUGUUUCUUUGCUAAAUACUGACGGACAACAGCGUGAUCAAUUAAAAACACUCACUGGAUGAAAGGCAGGAACAACUAUAUAUUGGACUGCAUGAAGUGAAAAAGAUUGUAUCGGCAAGAGAGAGAGAGACAGAGAUAGAGAGAUAUUGGAGCAGUACCUAAUAGAGGAUCCGAUAUAUAAAGAAGAACGAUCGACGAAUGUUCAGUCCGUAUUAGGCUAGAUAACAGAAAAUUGUUCGAAUUAGUACAAAUCGUUUGUGAUUUUUAUCUGAAUUUUGAACAGGAAUCUUUUACAAAGUAAGUUAACAAUAAUAACAAUAUAAACGAUGGAUAUGAACCAAGAAAAAACUUAAGAUGGAGAGGGAGUGGUUUAAUUCUUUAAUCUUAUGACAUGUUUGUUUGUAUGUCAAAAAUAUUUGAAGUAUAUUCAUACCUACAACAAGGAAGAUGUUUAUUAUCUGAGGAAGAGUUUUCUUUUAUAACUAUUUUUAUAAAUGUGCGAAUUUCUUUUCAUGGAGAUUCACUGCAUCAAACUUUACAAAGGAAUUUUAAACGUGUCUCGUGAAGACUACAUCUAAUAUUCAAAAUUCUUAUUACUUCAAAUAAGUUGUAGAAAUCCACGUUCAAUGGAUACAUGAAAAACCGUUUGUAUCUGAUUGCCAUGCUAUAAAUUAUUCACAAACAAACAUUUGGAAUCAAUACGUAAAGCAUGUCUCUACACUGUUAGUAUACCACAAACGACUGAAAGAGAUAUCCCAAUACAUUCAAAACUAAUGGAAAUGUUGAGCUGAAUAACAAUUUAAAUACCAUUCAAAGACAUGUACCAUUGUACCAACGUUUCUUUCAAAGGAGAACAUUAACAGAAACGUGUUAUUUGAAAGAAAACUCGCUCGAUUCCAAGGGUAAAACAGAGCAAAAUGACAGGACGGCUUCCUAGUAACACGGGUUCAGAUAUACGUUUUCAUGAUGAGAUUUCAUCUGGUUCGUUAUCACAGGUUGAGAUGUAUCACCAACUAAUGCAUGAUAAUAAACAACUAAUUUAUGAAAUAAAAAUAGGCAUUGUAUCUGUGAUCGGGGCAAUUGUCAUUAUAGUGUGUCUUAUUUACAUAUUCAUACAAUGUAAAAGAAAUUCGUCAAAUCUAUAUAACAGUUAUUCGAGAAAUAGACGCCAUUUCGAAAGAAAGAAAACGAUGGAUUGCCAUGAGUCAAUGGAAAAUUUACUAAAAACUAAAACUCAUAUUACUAUCGGGACGAAAAACGAAAUGGAGUUUUUUGUUUAGCAGAAAAUGCUUUACAUGCAUGUGUAAUAACUUACAAUUAUUUUAUGCAAUAUGAUUUCAAAGGAAACGAAUAUAUGUCAGGUGUAAUACAUUUGGGAUAUUUAUUGCGAAAUGCUCAAUAUCGAUAGUGAAGAGGUAGGCAAUAAAGUGCUUUUGCAAAUAUAUGUCAUAGCAACAUUUUCAGUUUUAUUUUUAACAGUUUUAUGUAAAUUAUUAUAUUUUAAUAAUGUACAUGUAUCUUUAAUUUUAUCCACGUUACUUUUUUUAUUUCAUACACAGUUUUAAUGUCCAAUGUAUUUUCUAAAACCUCUAAGAACAGUUGUAAUGUUGUAUGUAAAGAGUGAUAUAUAUCUACAGCUGAUCAGCUGUUUACACUGGGAUCAAAAUACCUUGAUACGUUCGUAGGCAUACACCACUUUAAAUUUUGCAGUUUUGCGACAAAAAUCGCCGGCAACCAGGCACCAGUUUCGCUUGGACGUCAAUUUACUGGAGUACAGACUGUACCACUGUAAGUUCUUUUAAAAAUCAAAUGCAAAUAACACAACAUAAAACAAAAAUGAAAAAGGUAAGAGAAUUUCAGAAAAAAAUACGUACGAAUCUGCUCAUGAUCUCAUAAAAGUGACGCGAAAUUAAACAGGGCUGCAAGUAUAUUGCCAACUGUAUGUAAUCAUGAUGACUUAGAUUUAUGUACGGUAUUUGACGUGUGGUCUUGAUUUCCUAAAACGCGAGUUUCUGUUUGAUAACGGUAUUUCUAAUAAAUAUAUUGAAUCUGUUUUACAUAUUUUUUUGGCAUUAGAAUUCAGAUUAGACAUAAAAUGGGUGUAAUCGUUUCUUUAAUAAAGAGUUAAAGUCGGGAGAUUAGAAUAAUACGAAGGAAACAUAUACAACACCUUUUACAUCUAUUUUCUAAAUUCUUGCUUAUUAUGAGAUGAUUUAAAUAAUAAGUGGCUGACUUUUUGGGGCAAUACUUAUUUAUUUCCAAAAUGAACUCAUGUUAAAACCAAUUCAAAAAAUAUUAUCAGCUGAUCUAUGUUUAUCCUCUGUUUACUGUGAAUUUUUUUUUAUUACGCUGCGACUUCCUCCUGCUUGAACUUCCUUUAUUAAUUAUCCUUAUAAUUCUUUGUUCGCUGUAGUUGGUAAGAUGAAUAUCCGACGCGGUCUUUGUAUUCUAUAUAGAGGCUAAAAUACGUAUACUACUGUUCUAGAUGUUGCAUUUUAUUGGUUUAAAAUGUUCUUAAUUUUAUAACAGACAAUUGAUACUAUAUGUGAUUUUUUAUGUUUAUAGUUUGGUUGUAAUGUUUGAUAUAGUGUAAAUAAAUGUGAUAGUUUAAACGUUAAAUACUAUUUAGAAUUUUGCACACAUUUUACUAUUAUAUUUGAACUUAAUAAACCUGAUGCUAAAUGA